rnacentral:rRNA from 1 species
GUGUCAGCAGCCGCGGUAAGACGUAGGUGGCGAACGUUAUCCGGAAUUAUUGGGCGUAAAGGGUGCGUAGAUGGCUUGACAAGUUAGUGGUGGGAAAUCGAGGCUCAACCUCGUGGAAGUCACUAAUACUAUCAAACUAGAGUGCAGGAGAGGUUAAUGGAACUCCAUGUGUAGCGGUAAAAUGCGACGAUAUAUGGAUGAACACCAAUAAAGGCGAAGGCAGUUAACUAUUCUGCUACUGACAUUGAGGGCACGAAAGCGUGGGGAGCAAAACGGAUUAGAUACCCGCGUAGUCC